rnacentral:rRNA from 1 species
AAAUAGCGGGGGAAAAGAAACCAACCGGGAUUGCCUCCGUAAAGGGGAGUGAAGCGGCAAAAGCUCAAAUUUGAAAUCCCCCCCGGAAUUGUAAUUUGAAGAGAUUUUUUUUUUUUGGGUCCGGCCGGCAGGGGUUAAGUCCACUGGAAAGUGGCGCCACAGAGGGUGACAGCCCCGUGAACCCCCUCAACGCCUUGAUCCCAGAUCUCCAAGAGUCGAGUUGUUUGGGAAUGCAGCUCUAAGUGGGUGGUAAAUUCCAUCUAAAGCUAAAUACCGGCGAGAGACCGAUAGCGAACAAGUACAGUGAUGGAAAGAUGAAAAGCACUUUGAAAAGAGAGUGAAAAAGUACGUGAAAUUGUUGAAAGGGAAGGGCUUGCAAGCAGACACUUAACUGGGCCAGCAUCGGGGCGGCGGGGAGCAAAACCACCGGGGGAUGUACCUUUCGAGGAAUAUAACCCCGGUCCUUUCUCCCACACCAUCCCGAGGCCUGCAAUCUUAGGAUGCUGCGUAAUACA